UACAGAGGUCCCGAGCGUUGUUCGGAUUCAUUGGGCGUAAAGGGUGUGUAGGAGGUCUUGUAAGUCGGGCGUGAAAUCUCACCGCUUAACGGUGAAACUGCGUUCGAUACUGCUUGGCUAGAGGAUCGGAGGGGGUAUCGGAACUCAUGGUGUAGCAGUGAAAUGCGUAGAUGUCAUGAGGAACACCGGUGGCGAAAGCGGAUACCUGGAAGAUUCCUGACUCUGAAACACGAAAGCUAGGGGAGCAAACGGG
rnacentral:rRNA from 1 species